rnacentral:rRNA from 1 species
CCUACGGGGGGCAGCAGUGAGGAAUAUUGGUCAAUGGCCGGAAGGCUGAACCAGCCAUGCCGCGUGAAGGUCACUGCCCUAUGGGUUGUAAACUUCUUUUAUAAAGGAAUAAAACGAGGCACGUGUGCCUUUUUGCAUGUACUUUAUGAAUAAGGAUCGGCUAACUCCGUGCCAGCAGCCGCGGUAAUACGGAGGAUCCGAGCGUUAUCCGGAUUUAUUGGGUUUAAAGGGAGCGUAGAUGGGUUGUUAAGUCAGUUGUGAAAGUUUGCGGCUCAACCGUAAAAUUGCAAUUGAUACUGGCAGUCUUGAGUACAGUUGAGGUAAGCGGAAUUCGUGGUGUAGCGGUGAAAUGCUUAGAUAUCACGAAGAACCCCGAUUGCGAAGGCAGCUUACUAAACUGUGACUGACAUUGAUGCUCGAAAGUGUGGGUAUCAAACAGGAUUAGAUACCCCUGUAGUC